CUUUGAUUGAAUUAUACAUAGAAAGUGUGGGACUGGCUAUAUGUUGGAUCAGGUGUGACCAGGUUUAUUUUGUUAGAUUACAUCACUGAACGUAGGUUAGAUCUAGUUCAUGCGUGUGGCAGGAGAGAAGAUAAAAGAAUUCAGAAUAAUCAUCAUUCAGAUGAAUUUUCAUUAGAUCAGGUAUAAUAAAGCAUGUAUUAAGAUUUAAUAACAUGCAAAGGACAAUAUUUACAGUCAUUUAAAGAACACUGUAGGCACCUUAACUAUUUCAAUUAACUAAAGCGGUUGUGCUGCCUGGAGUUCUAUGUUUUAAACCAUUCUUAUGUUUCACAGGGAUAAAGGAUCCCUUAGCACUUACAGCAAGUCCCACAGUGACUGUAUGGCAAGACGGGGAGUAGCUCCACCUUACGCCAUACC